UACGUAGGGUGCAAGCGUUGUCCGGAAUUAUUGGGCGUAAAGAGCUCGUAGGCGGUCUGUCGCGUCGGAUGUGAAAACCCAGGGCUCAACCCUGGGCCUGCAUUCGAUACGGGCAGACUAGAGUUCGGUAGGGGAGACUGGAAUUCCUGGUGUAGCGGUGAAAUGCGCAGAUAUCAGGAGGAACACCGGUGGCGAAGGCGGGUCUCUGGGCCGAAACUGACGCUGAGGAGCGAAAGCCAGGGGGGCAAACGGG
rnacentral:rRNA from 1 species